AUCACGCAGGGAAGCCACAGAACGCCUGACUUCUGAUCUUUCUAAAAAUUUCUGAUUGGGGCAGAGCAAACUUGGUAUUGUUCAAUGCCUCAAAAACUCAAUUCCUCCAUCUAUCAACUCGACACAAUCUUCCAGACAACUAUCCCCUCUUCUUCAAUGACACUCAAACUGUCCCCCUCUUCUACACUGAACAUCCUCGGUCUGUCCUUUACUUAUAAUCUGAACUGGAAACUUCACAUCUCAUCUCUAGCUAAAACAGCUUCUAUGAAGUUGGGUGUUCUGAGACGUCUCCGCCAGUUUUUCUCACCCCCCCCAGCUGCUAACUCUGUACAAGGGCCUUAUCCGUCCAUGUAUGGAGUAUGCUUCACAUGUCUGGGGGGGUUCCACUCAUACUGCUGUUCUAGACAGGGUGGAAUCAAAAGCUUUUCGUCUCAUCAACUCCUCUCCUCUAACUGACUGUCUUCAGCCUCUCUCUCACCGCUGCAAUGUUGCAUCUCUAGCUGUCUUCUACCGCUAUUUUCAUGCUAAACUGCUCUUCUGAUCUUGCUAACUGCAUGCCUCCCCUCCUUCCGCGGCCUCGCUGCACAAGACUUUCUUCUUUCUCUCACUCCUAUUCUGUCCACCUCUCUAACGCAAGAGUUAACCAGUAUUCUCAAUCAUUCAUCCCUUUCUCUGGUAAACUCUGGAACUCCUUGCCUGCUUCUGUAUUUCCACCUUCCUAUGACUUGAAUUUCUUCAAGAGGGGAGGUUUCAAGACACUUAUCCACCAAUUUUUGACCACUGCUUUGACCCUUUUAGGGACUGGCAUUUCAGUGGGCAUUUUUUUUUAUUAGAUUUUUGUUGCCCUUGGCCAGUAUCCUUCCUACAUAAGAAAAAAAAUAAAUAAAAGUAACAGCAGUAGUCAUAGUUAUUAUUGUAUAUUUUUUUAGCACUCCAGAACAGUGUAGCAGUAGUAGUAGUUGGCAGGAAUUAAGUACAGUAUUAAAUAUAUUCUGAUCUUGAUUUGUGUUGCAGGCCAGACAGCUUAGUGGCAGAGCUGCAGGUGGCCCUUGUAAGCUUCCUGGUGGCACAGGUGUAGGACGGCUGGGAGCAGUGGAGGUGCCUGAUGGGGCAGCUGUGCCGGGCAGAGGGGCUGCUACUGCUGCUGCUGCUGCUGCUGCUGCUGCUGGGGAGAGCCACACUUGUAUGGUGGUAACACGGAGAGGAAGUGGAAGAAAGCUUGGGACGCUCCCAUAACUCAGGAGCAAGAAAUACACCUUACUGGAAACCUUGUGACUGACAGGUGGCUGUGACUGCAGGAACCAAUUCAGAUGUCUGUCUUGUGUUGGCGAACGUCCUGUCUGCAGUCAGGCCAGUAGUGCCAUGUCGCAGGGUGUGACAUCAGGUGAAGAGCCAAAUGGAGAGUGUCUGCAGCCAGUACUGGGUGUGCUGAUGCUGUACAAGUGUCGAGCCAGGUGCCACAGCACAUGACUCCACCAGUGUAGUGUCUCUAGUCCAGGAUGCACUGCUGUGUACGACUUGUAUGUCUUUAUAAAUUUGUGACUAUUCUUAUUAUAUAUGUGAAAUAAAUAUAUAGUUUGCUAACAGUGUGGUGGUAUAAUAGUUUAAAAAUAAAUAUUUGAUAACAAUUCAUGCAUGCCCCAAAGGUAAAAAAAAAAAAACAGGAUUGUGCCCUCUAAACUUUUAAGAUACCACUUGCACAUAGAAGCCCCAUCGCAGCGACUCCAGUGUCGGCUGGGAUGGGGCUUCUAUGUGCAAAUGGUAUCUUAAACUUAGUUUAGUAGCCAAUCCUGACUUUUUUUUUUUUUUUUUACCUUGGGGGCAUGACCUGUACUCCCAGAAAGACUUUGCCAAAGAUAUUAUUGACAUGGCAUAAAUAACUAUCAUUGUUUUUUUUGCCUUGAGGGCAUGACCUGUACUCCCAGAAAGACUAUUUGCCAAAGAUAUUAUUGACAUGGCAUAAAUAACUAUCAUUAUGUUCAAGAUGGUAUACUGAAUGUUUAUUGUUUUAAUGUGAAUGUUAAGUGAAUAAAUACACAACAAUAAUAUAAAAA